UUGAGUUUUAUAAGGAGAUUUGCCUUUUGGCAUCUCUCUUUUUUCUCUCUUUCACCCUUUUGUUAUCAAUCUUCUCAGUUGCUUUGGCAGGUGAAUUGCUCUCCUGCCAAGGGAUUUUUCUAAACACAUUUUUGUUAUCCAAUAAUCGGGAUAUCUCUCGUCUGAUUUCUUAUGACUUUUGAAUAAGUACAUA
rnacentral:misc_RNA from 1 species